ensembl:lncRNA
GAGGAAGUGGAUCUGACGGAAUUCAGAAGAACCGAAUCCCUGAAACAGCGGCAGUUCAAAGCAGAGAACCAGGAUCUCACCAAAGAGAUCGAACGACUGGAAGGGGAGAUACUUGAACUGAAGAAACAAAUCAGAGGAAUGGUAAAGGACAAAGUAUAUAACAGCGGUACACAAUAGGAGAGAGACAGAUAAUAUCUCCUUUCUUCGUAAAUGUCAACCAUAAAGGAAAAGGGCAAAGUACGAGAGUCAUGCUAUUAAUUGUCCAACGCAGGAAUGGAGAGUAAGCUAGUGAGGCACAGCACAUAGAACCACCGUUGGCAGGCAAAACAUUCAAUCAAAACAAAACGAUGCGUAGCACGUUAUAAAUAAUAUCAAAUAUCAAUGCAGAAUGACGAAUUAGCCAUCCAUUGUGUUAAAGUGUAUAAUAAAGUGUCUUCUAUGCCGUCACUGUUGUCAAAAGAUUAUAAACAUGUUAAAUAAAGUUACUAACCCA